UACGUAUGUCGCGAGCGUUAUCCGGAAUUAUUGGGCAUAAAGGGCAUCUAGGCGGCCUGACAAGUCAGGGGUGAAAACCUGCGGCUCAACCGCAGGCCUGCCUUUGAAACUGUGAGGCUGGAGUACCGGAGAGGUGGACGGAACUGCACGAGUAGAGGUGAAAUUCGUAGAUAUGUGCAGGAAUGCCGAUGAUGAAGAUAGUUCACUGGACGGUAACUGACGCUGAAGUG
rnacentral:rRNA from 1 species